UGGGGAAUUUUGGACAAUGGGGGAAACCCUGAUCCAGCCAUCCCGCGUGUGCGAUGAAGGCCUUCGGGUUGUAAAGCACUUUUGGCAGGAAAGAAACGUCAUGGGUUAAUACCCCGUGAAACUGACGGUACCUGCAGAAUAAGCACCGGCUAACUACGUGCCAGCAGCCGCGGUAAUACGUAGGGUGCAAGCGUUAAUCGGAAUUACUGGGCGUCAAGCGUGCGCAGGCGGUUCGGAAAGAAAGAUGUGAAAUCCCAGAGCUCAACUUUGGAACUGCAUUUUUAACUACCGGGCUAGAGUGUGUCAGAGGGAGGUGGAAUUCCGCGUGUAGCAGUGAAAUGCGUAGAUAUGCGGAGGAACACCGAUGGCGAAGGCAGCCUCCUGGGAUAACACUGACGCUCAUGCACGAAAGCGUGGGGAGCAAACAGG
rnacentral:rRNA from 1 species